GCGGCAAUGACUCUUUUCCACAUUUCAUGAUUUUCCAGAAGAUGCUGCGUGAUCUGGCAAAACACUUUCCUCCUGCUCACCUUUUUGGUUUCUUGCCGUUCUGUUGGACACAAAGGAAACACAAAAGGAUUUGGUCGUCUCCAUGGUAACCAGGAGCUAUCCUCUAUAGGAUUUGUGGACGCGAGGGCUCGUGCCACUUCAAGGCUUCGCAAGCUUGACCUACACAGGCUUCACACUAUGACAACCAAGCUCGCUGCACCUGGUUACAGUGGGUCAACCCAGCGUCCUGGCAUGAGAGCAGCGGAGUCGUACGAUGAGCACAGAGGUCCCACUAUGUGAGUGAUGAAAGACUCCUGUAGUUUAGCGAGCUGCGGGGCCGACCGGUCCAUGAACGGGCUGAUGGGAAGGCCCAGGCUCGCUUCUUCGUCUCCCUAGAAGAGUGCGAACACAGCAAAUAUGACAGAGGCACAGAAACAAUAACAUUUAUGAUGGUGUAUGAUCAAUGCACUGGAAAAUGGAACAUUGAUAUUACGUGAUUAUGAGAUUUCAAGAGAACCAUUUUCCCCAAUGGCCCAUUUCUUUUUAAAAAGGUUGUUAUCUUGAAAUGAAUCCAGCAGUCUCUUUAGCAUCAGUUCUUAAGAAUUCGUGCAAUAUUUGAAUUUAAACCUCAGAGACACUCCUAAAAUUAUAAUCUUUUAUAAAUUAAAGAUGUUCUGGCUCACUA